CUGUUAUCCCUGAGGUAAGUUAAUCUUAUAAUCAAAAAUUCUGGAUCAAAAAAAACAUAAAUUAAUGAAAAAAAUAUUAAAAGUUAAAUAAAUUUUAAUGUCACCCCAACAAAACUUUAUAUUCUAAAAAAUUGUAUAAUAAACAAAAAACAAUAAUUAAUAAAUAAAGUAAACUUCUACAGGGUCUUCUCGUCCUAUAAGAAAAUUUUAGCUUUUUAACUAAAAAAUUAAAUUCAAAAUAAUUAAAAAAAGAAAGACUAUUUUUCAUUAGACCAUUCAUUCUAGCCUUCAAUUAAAAGACAAAUGAUUAUGCUACCUUCGUACAGUUAAAAUACCGCAGCCUUUUAAUUAGAAAAAUCAAUGGGCAGGCCUGAUCUUAAAUUAAAAUCAAAAGACC
rnacentral:rRNA from 1 species